UACGGAGGGUGCGAGCGUUAAUCGGAAUUACUGGGCGUAAAGCGUGCGUAGGUGGUUUGGUAAGUAGGUUGUGAAAUACCCGAGCUUAACUUGGGGGCUGCAGUCUAAACUGCUAGACUAGAGGUCAGUAGAGGGAGGUGGAAUUCCUGGUGUAGCGGUGAAAUGCGUAGAUAUCAGGAGGAAUACCGAUGGCGAAGGCAGGUCUCUGGGCUGACACUGACGCUCAUGCACGAAAGCGUGGGGAGCAAACAGG
rnacentral:rRNA from 1 species